UACGUAGGGUGCAAGCGUUGUCCGGAAUUAUUGGGCGUAAAGAGCUCGUAGGCGGUCUGUCGCGUCGGCUGUGAAAUCCCGAGGCUCAACCUCGGGUCUGCAGUCGAUACGGGCAUCACUAGAGUUCGGCAGGGGAGACUGGAAUUCCUGGUGUAGCGGUGAAAUGCGCAGAUAUCAGGAGGAACACCGGUGGCGAAGGCGGGUCUCUAGUACGGUACUGACGCUGAGGCGCGAAAGCCAGGGGGAGCAAACAGG
rnacentral:rRNA from 1 species